CCCUUAUCAAGAUCAUGCUUCCAUUUGUAAAACAUGUUCUUUUUGGGACCCCUUAUCAACAGUAUCGUUAAAUUGAAGACCCUCAGACAUUUGCUAAUGACCCUCUGGCAUGGUCGAGGCCACUGGUUAGGUAUUACUCUGGCGAAUUCUCCAUGGCUGCGGUUCAGGCAAAUAGAGAUCAAAUGUUCAAUCAAAUUAUUGUGGAUUUUGGAAAGGGAUAUCAAAUAAGGAUGCUGCUAAAGUUGUUAACACCAGUACACGAGAUGGAAUCGCAGAAAGACUUGCCACACUUGCUUUACAGAAUGGGGCUAAAAGAAGGGGCAGAACAUAUAGUCAACUUAUAGGGUUGCCUCAGAGUAAUCAAAUUAGUGGGUCGGACAUACGCCUUCACAAUUAUGUUAAAUUUAGAUCGGCUUAUCAUGAUGAUAUAACUGUAGUUGUAUAUUUGGACAACAACAUGUCAAAUAGGGCGGGUGUGAUGCUAGAGAUGAACUCCUAUAGUGGCUGCGAUGACGGAUUUCAACAAUCAGAGUUUACAAAUUUCUAUAAUAAUGCUAAUGCGUGACACAUGUAUACCUAGGAAAUAAGAUGCCAUAGUUUUUUUCAUUUUCUCAGUUUGGUUGUAAGUGUAACAAUGAUUACGCCUCUGCCUUAAUUUUCUAUAUAGAAGUUUGAAAACAUUUCUGUUA